UUGUGCAGGAGGUCAGACUAGAUGACAUAAUGAUCCCUUCUGACCUUAAAGUCUAUGAAUCUAUGAAUUUGGCCCCCAGUAGGUUAUAUUGAGCAUGACAUUGCACAGUUGGAGUACAAUCAAUGACAGGAUGGUGCAUGGGGACCAGAGCUGGUGACUGGUGAAUUGGCAAAGGCAGGUUGGGCAAAGAGAGCGAGUCUGGAAGAGGGGAUGGGACACUUGGGUCCCAGGUAUUAAAGACCCUUUCCUGUUUCAGGAAGAAAUUCUCCCUGGGCCUGUGUGAGUGUAUAGGCAUCAGCGGAAGUUUCACCCAUAGGAAGUCCAGAUCACUUAUAAAGCCUUUUUUCCUCAGCGGUAGCGUGGCAGUUCAGUCAAACUGUGUGCAUGGUACGGCUGUGUUAACAGCAUCCUGUUCUGUGGUAACCACGUGGGAGUGAGCUGUUAUCUCAGAUCUGCCAUGAUCUGUGCUCUGAGGCUGUAUUCCUUCGCUCUUUUAUGUGGUCGUUUCUACCUGUCCACGUGCUUGUGUGCUGAGCUUGCUCCUGGAUGAAGCCGUCUGCAGAUAUCAGCAACUGGGUUUCAGAUAAACAAAAAGCAGCUAAACAGAGAACAGCCACCUGGGAGCAUCAAUCCAUCUAAGUCUGGGUGUUUAUUUUUAGGGCCAGGCCGCUUGACCCUAUCGUUGGCCUCUAAUUCAACACAGGCAAUCUCUAGACCUGUGACGCAUUCACAGCCCCAAACUCAUUAAGAGAACAUGGCUGGGGUGCGUGGCUGGGAUACUUACUGCCAGAUGAGUGUUAAAGCAAAGCAGAGAGAUGUGUUGCCAUUGCUCAUGACAUGAUGUCCUAGUCCUCUGACUCUUUGUUUACACCAAAUGAUUGAUGUAGGUUUAAUCAUCUGCUUUGAUGGACACCGCUGCAGGGAGUGAUGGUUGCUUGCCGUGCCAGAGGCAUGUGGGCUGUUCCCAAAGGACAUUUAUGCUUUUAGAAAUAUUCUAGUCUCUGGCUGAAUCUUUCUUUCAUCGCUCUUACUAAAUAAGGACUUGCCAUCCAGCACUCUGGAUAGGCUGGUGAACAUUUUGCGGGCUACAGUAUUUAACCCUUUCACAGGCCUGUAAGUGAUAUUGGUAACUUACCUGUUGCUCAGCUCCUCAGAUGCUACCACCAUGCCUGGCCUCAUGAUCUUACCUUAUUUCUUACCUUUAUUCAUUUUCCUUCCAGGGGCGUCUGCAGGCAUGGAUCUCUCCUUCCGUCUUCUCUGGCUCUCUCCAGCCCUCCUUACAUGUUCUUGUGUCCUCCUGUUGCUGCCUCCCAGAUGUUCUGCUAUUGUCUGCCCUCCCCUCCUUUCUGCUAGAUAUGCUCCUGGCUCCAGUUCUUGAUAAAUACUCAGCCAUUGCAGUAAACUUGUCACCUGCAAGUGAAAGGUUGAAACCUCGUGGCCAGACUAGAAAUGGAGGGUCUGAUUCUGAUCCUGCCUGUGUAGUUACACCAGCAGGAGACCAGAAUCAGGGCCUCGGAGUCUUUUUCAGCCCUCCGUUGCACUGGAGUGUUUGAGAGUGAACCGAAAAGGAAGGGUUAAAGGGAAGCGACCGUUUCCAAGCUUUUUUAAAAAAAAUAAAUCAAAUCUGUCGUGGUCAAAGACACCCACGCAAUGAUUUUAGUUCAAAGACUCAAGCCUGAGGCCAGUUUAUUGACAUACAUAGCAGUGCAUUUCCCCACAAGUCUGACUUCAUCACUUGUUAAUUUUUUCAAUCCCCAGCAAAUUGCUGUGAAGUUGAAAGAUGCUCAAGAAUCUCAUCUUGUUUAACGAGUAGUAAUGGGGGUCUCUUGAUGAUUCCCAGCUCCUUAAUUUCUGGAGGGCGGGGUAGCUAGAGUCGGUCAACCUUGCUUUUUAAAAAUACAUUUUGGAUGUUUUCAUCUAUCUUCUGGGCAAUUAUUUUUUUACCCUGGUGAAUGUAAUGGGUGUUAAAUAUUUGUGGAUAUGAGAGGCCGGGAAUGUAAUGCAGACUUAGUGCUAAACAUACCAUAGACAUCAUGUGCCGUAUGCAUUUCCUCCUACUUCCCCCACACAGUCCACCGGGGUCUCCGCUAAGAUCACCAGAGGCAUGUUGCUUGAUACAGACAGAGUAGAAAUGGGUUGCUAGGCGGUUGCUGUUGCGACUGUUUUUGUUAGUGCAGUGUCAUGUUCGAUGGCAGUGGGCUGGUUUUGCAAUUGGCAGGGAGCUCAUGAAACAGUUGCAAACCCCACGUUGCUGAUGUUCAGCAAGACUUGAAUGGCAAACUACUCCACCCUCUCAGAGCCCAGUGGUAUUUCCCCAGAGAGAUGGGGAGAGGUUCUCCCCUCCACCACAGCCUCUGUGCCUCAUUCCAGAGGCACAGCUGGCCCGGGGAGAUUAUCCUUGGUGCAGAGUCAUCCCCACACUGCCUCUCCAAUCCUCCCUCAAGCCCUGGGUUGGGGGAGGGGGAUGCCAGGGGAGUCUCCAUAGUGUGGCAUGCUAAGGAGAUUCUGUGCUGCUCCAAGUUAUGGAGCAACUCUUGGAAGGCUGCUGCAAAUGAGAGCAGCAUGAGGCUCUCCAGUUUAUGCUGGGGGUCUCAUCAGCAGCCCAGAAUCAGGAAGACACAAGGGUGGCAUGGAGACCCCUUUGCCUCGCCACCCCCAGGCUAUUUAUUUGCUGCUGUGCCUGCUGGAGAAAGAAUUCCUGUACCUCCCGCUCCAUAAGUCUAGGAUGUGGCUAUGGUUAAUUCCAUUCUACUGCGUGAAAGCUCCUUGGAGUUGGAAAAGCCAAGUACCAGGAUAACUGUCACAGUUGGGACUGAGGGGGAUGUCUACACUAGGCGCAGGCGGCAUGAUUCCCAUCUCACAUAGACAUGCUAGACCUCGAGCUUGUGUGCUAAAAACAGUAGUACAGUUGUGGUAGAAUGGGGAGCGGUGGCACAGCCAGCCACGCUGAGUACUUAUUCAUGGGCUUCAGGCACCAUUAGCCCGUGCUACAGCGGCUACACUACUCUUCUUAACACGCUAGCUCAAGGUGAGCAUAUCUGAUGAGCUGGGAAUCAGCCCCCUAGCUUGUAGUGUAGACAUAGCCACAGGCCUGUGAGGUUCUAAGCACUGUCGGCACCGCUGGUACCAAUGGGAGUUUAGGGUGUUCAGAACCUUACAGGGUAGAGCAAUAAAGCUUGAAAUUUGACCUUCCGUAGGACAUUCAUCUGGCAGGAAAUGGCCUCCAGUUUCAAAAUAUCCGUUCAUUGCUGCUGUUUUGCCUCUCCCCCUCUGCUGCUGGGAAAUUGUGGUUAAAAAGCCAGAGAUUCUAUGGACAGCGCCAAGAAUCUUGGGGUGACACAGUUGUGUUCCCAGAGCCGAGAUGUGGACCCUCCUGCUUUGUGAGUGUGGAUGUGGGUUUAAGCCACACACUUUGGACUGUUCUGAUGAUGCAAACGGGGGCCGUGGGGAGUACAACCAGGCAUGUUAAUUUCAGCUCCAUUAGAAACCCAGGGAAGCCAGGCCUGGCAAAUGGAAAAGGACUGAUUGGUAGGGGAAGAAAUCUUUUUGAGCACCUGUACUGAUACUGUAACCGAUAGAGGGGCUAAAACCUUGGCUGACUGCAAUGCUUGAGACAGCUGUAAAGGCAGUACUAAUUUCCUGGGGGAUAUUGGGUGCCUCCAAGCCACCCCAUUCAAAUGUCUGAGUAAAGUUGGCUUUGUCAGAUGCACUCUGUGUCUAAAAUAAGGUUUGUCCAUGCUUGAUCACCUGCCCAAAGCUGUGCUGCAUUUCUAACUGGACUGAGCCUGUGAGUAGAUACAUGAACAUACUGGGAUUUUAUAAGGAACAGUCUGACUGAAGAAUUCCAAGAUGUGUGUGACUGAGACCAUACAUGGUGCCAGUUUAGCGUCUCAGCUGAUGUGUUCCAUGCAACCGUUUUGUAAGUGCAAUUGCACACGCCAUGAUGUACUGUGCACUGCUGCAGCGUAAUGUACAUAGUCUGAUCCUGCAGUCCUUACCCAUCUAGCGCUCCCAUUUAAAUCAUUGGAAGGUCUAGAUAAGGAUGGCAGGGCUAGACCAACGUUUGUAAAGUUGUACAGGCAUUUGCCUCACAGACUGUCUGUAUAAUUCCCGGCUAUACUACAACCCGCUAAGGGCUUGAUGUGUGUAUUAUGUCUGUAUCUCAGUUGGCAGCUGCUUUAACCAUUUAAGAUUUACCCGGCUGCUUAGUUAGGGGGAGGAGGGCAGAGUAGCCAUCUUGAUAGCAAAGGACAAACGUGGGGUAGAUCUGCCAACAAACAUGAGACUGCGAGACACAAAGUUGUGUUCGUGCCCUUGAAUUCCGAACUCCGUGGGGGUUCAGAAUGAGCAUCAGCAGGGGAGAGAUGCCAGUACUGAAGGGGUGGGGAAGUAUGUGUGGGGGGGAUUCUUCUUGCUUAAGCAGAACCUUUGCCGCAGUUAGCAGAGACGUCUCGUGUCCUGUCGGUAUCUCAUGCUGCUGAGGAAACUCUCUAGCCGAGGAUAAAAAUGAAUGGAGAGUCCUGGUUGGAUGAGGAGAGGGGAGGAUCAUGUGUAUCUGAGAGACCAAAGGAAGCACAAAGAAUAAAAAAGAAUGAACCUUCACUUUACCCUGGGCUAAGAAUUGAGAACACGUCAGCACAUGUGGGUUUUACUAGUUGGCCUUCAGUGGAGCUGUUCCUGGUUUACACUGGUAUGAAGGCCAAAUCAAAUAUACAGGAGUCCAUUCUUCACCUCUGCAUAUUAUGGGUCUGACUCUGAUCUCUCAAAGGCAUGAUUCAGAAGUAACCCCAUUAAAGCCAAUGGAAUUACAGUUGUGCAAGAUUGGUGUGAAAGGAGAACCAGGCCAAUUCAGCCACUUUGGGGCUUUGCCGGCAUUUCGGAAGAGCUCAUAAUGACCAGUGACACGUCCACUCUCUUAGUAAAACACACAUUCCUUCAUCACCAGGGAGAAAUACUUAGAACCUGCCUGAAAAUGAAGCCCAAAUAAACAAGACCUGGUGAAUCACAGCAGUCAGGUGGUUGUGCUUCUCCUCUCAGCUACACCGGUUUCACACUGGUGUAACACUAUUAACAUCAGUGGCAUUACACCUGAAUAAUGCCAGCAUAACUGAGAAGAAGAGCCCUGGAUGGCAAAGAGCUACUAGAUUAUCCAGAGACCAUCAAUUUCCCAAUCACCAAGACACUACAUGAAUCUGUCUACCUAAACACUUCCAGGCUUGCAAAACUCUAACAGAUUUCCUCUGUUUACACCCAGAAGCAGAAGCAACGACUACUAGCUCAUCACAUGACAAAGGAUUUUCAGUUGGAUCAGAUGACUGCUAAUUGGGGGCAUCAUAUGACAAAGGCUUUAAAUUUGACAGUGUGGUUUACCUUCUCCCAGCUUCAGACACAGGGGGAAAUGGAGUGGAAACAGAAAGAGACAGGAAGGAAAGGCAGAGAGAAAAGAGCUAUUGGAAUAAAAAUGUUAUUGCCAGUAAAGGGUUUCAGGGAGACUAGAGCAAGUAAAAUACAAAGGGAGGGAGUAAGUCUAUCGCCCAGGGGACAUUUUGACCCUGACUCUAUUUGUUUCUGCUUGGAUCUGCUGGGGUUUAUAUGGUUUAGGUUAGCUAUAGUUGCUGAAGUAGGGCCAUUUUUGUAACAAUGUCUGGAGAUCUAAUGACAUGUAUUACGAAUAA